CGGGGCGUAGCCGGGCGGGGAUGAAACCCGAGUUAGCCCGCGUGUAUGAUACCUAAUUACUGCUGUCUUUAUAAUUACGAUUUAAAUUUGAGAUCUGUAGGUGCCUGGGGGAAGCUUGGCUCCUCACGCUCUGCAGGCCUGUGAGAGGCUCGCCCCAGUCUUGGGAGUCCGUGAGUUUCCAACCCUUGUCUUCAGUUACAGAAGACUGUAAAGAAGCCGUGUGCCAUACAAACCCUACAGAGGAGACUUCUGUGACAGUGCAGCUUGCUGAUAGCAGCUUGCAUGGGAACAGGAGGAAGGGCAGAAGGCAGGGAUUCACUGGGCUGAAAUCAGACUGAUUGGUCCUGUGCCUUUCCAAAAUUAGAGAAUUUCUCUCAGAAAGUGAAUAAAGCUUUGUACUGCAGCA